GGUUGGACGCUCAACUGACUGAGCCACCCAGGCACCCCAGUAAAUUUGUUCUUAGUUUAUUUUUUUAAUGAUAUUUUUCUUUCCUUUGUGAUGUGAACAUAGAGCUCUUUCCAAAGCACAUCCCAUACGCUCAUGCUGUGAAAUAUCUUGCGGUAAGCACUUACAGGACAAGACAUCUGUACAGAUACUGAUUUAUAACAACUCCAAGCUACACUAAAUGGGGAAAAAUGUGAACAGCAUAUGAUCAGUAGAAUCAUCUUACUAGGCAUUGGGGCCCGAGUCAAGCUUAAGACAAAAUGGCAUCUAGUCCAGAUUGCUCUUAAUUCCCUUAGGAAGUUGUCACAUUGGAGCCCCACAUGCUCUUUUGUAACCACACCUACUGUCCCUCAGCAUUGGAGCCCAUCACCAAUGGGCUUGAAUUUAGGGACUUCCUUGCCUUGAAUUUAGGGACUUCCAGGAAAAGUGUUUCUCUAAACACUCGAAUCACAUAAGGGAGCUGAAAGCUUACCCCACACUCUCCCUUAUACUGCUUCUUGGGCAUAUGGUCCCUCAGUGGGAUGGCCAACCCCGGCACAAAUAGUUAUAUUCACAGAAGUUAAACACUUCCAUGAUGCAACUACCCUGUGUAAAUUCGCUGGGGGGUGGAGAGGGGUGGGCAGGGAGGAAGCAGUUUAGGGGCAGAGAAGAGCAUGGGCGGAUAUGCUAGAUCUUGAAGGAUACAGUUAAACUAGUACAGUGACUACAUCUGGAGACAAUAGUUAUUGUGUCAUUUGUAGACUUUGUGUACUAUAAAAAAAUGUUUUUGAAAAGUAAUGUAAGAAUUUCAAAGUCAAGAACAAAAGGCCAUUCUAGAUACUGGGCCCUCCCGGGGAAUCCCCCCUGGGUCUGGUUUCGUCCCACAGGGAUGACGCUGGAAGCGUGGGCACCAGCCACUUAGACUUCGGUGAGACGUAAAAACCGUGCUGAAUUUGCUGUUGCCGUCACGGCCUUCUGUGAAAGUAAAUGGCAAGAAGCGCUCCUCUCCCACAACCCGUACCCUCCAGAGUGCGCUGCGGGUAAGCAGCAGACCUCUGCCGCAGCAGGGCCAGGGGUCUGGAGGGAAAGGUGCUCCGCUGCCACCUCGUGUGACUUGCCGAGUUUGCGUUUCUCCACACAGUUGUCGAGCGCCUGACACUCGGGUGGGCCCAGGACAGCUCUGCCCUUUCUCUUCCUGCUAACGACUCGACUGGAGCCGCCUCUUUCACGGGUGCUGCCCCUCUGAUGGGGUCAACACACAGAGGGCCGUCAGCCCAGGUAACAGGGCCAGCCCCAGUCACGUCUGAAUGUUGUCCCCUUGUCCAUCCUUAAACAGAGUAGCGUUGUUGUUGUUAGAUCCCGUGGGCCUGUCCCCUGAGCCUUCAGGGUUAUAGUUGGAAUCCUCAGAGAUGGGUGGCGGUGGGGUGGCCAGGGACUUCAGUAGAGCUCCCUGUCUCUGGUCACUGGAUGCUGAAAUCUUCCUUCCAACAUGGUGUCUAUUGUGGCCUGAAAGAAAGAUGCUUUUGUGGAGGCGAGGAAAUCUGGUUAACUUUUCAUCUCUCUUCAGUGCCAGGCCAUCAGGGAAGUGCUCCUGGAAGUCCAGAGAAACACAGCAACACACUCUCCUCCACACAGAGCCCCUUUCACCCCAAGGCACUUGUCAGACUAUGUAUGGGGAUUACCUCACCUCCCUCUUUGGGGUGGCAGGCGACAGCUGUCCACUUCCCAGAUGCUUUGCAUAUCCAUUUGAGAGGAAGUGAGGGGGCGUUGGGGGUGAUGGGGUGUAUUAUCUAAGCUGGACCCAGGCCAGUGUGAAUUGUGGAACCAACGAGUGCACGGCCCCUUGCCCUCGGCUUUCCAGCUCACCAGAAAGACAGCGACAAACCAUUAGGAGGCUGAGCACAGGAGGAAGGAAAGGACAGGCUGUGAGGGUUAGCGGCCUCCUUGGAGCUGGGGCCAGAGUGACCUUACAGUGGAGAAAUUGAAGUGGGCAGGGUCGCGUUAUCAGGCGCCUUGGAGGUCAUGGUGUGUUUUAGAAGGAAUUGCCUUCCAAGUGAGAGUGUUAGUUAAUUGUCGUGAACUUGAAGGGACAGGUGUGCAACCAUUCCCAACAGGAUUCAUCUUGGGUGAGAGCAGAUCCACUGUGGCCCUUAUUUGCCACUGGCCCACUGAAUGAUUUUCCUGUAGCCAGACUGGCCCCCUCCUGGGGUGUCUCUCAGGAAAGUCAGGCAUGCCAAGGGACAGACCUCCAAGUUGAUUUCCCCAGCACCUCAGCAGAUUUAGCCAAAAGCCUCACUGAGAAUUCACUGAGAAAGACUUUGGCGCUCUCCUUGUCUAAGCCCUCUCUUCCUCUUCCUCCAUUUUACUGAUGAGGAUGCCACAGCCCAGGGAGACAUGGGCUGGGACAAGGACCUGGAUCACCUGACCAGUCACAUGCCAUCCCUGUCCUGCUUGCGUGGGCACUCCCCCUGUCCACCGGCAUCCUGUGUGUCUGGGCGUGCCCUUUUUAUAGAGAGCAGUGAGAUGUGAGAGAAUGUCCCCCUGGGUGGCUGGGCCAGGCCAGACCCCACUGCCGGAGAGAUCUCAAGGCCAGACUCGACUCUGCCUCCACAGUGAGGCCUUGCCUGGUUGUCCCCUCAUGGCUGCAUGUUAGCUUACCUUCAGCGCUGAGGUGAAGAGUGAAAAGCUUGUAGGGCAAAGGUUUCUGUUUCACUAAUGGAUCAUAAAAGUAGCCUAUGUUCAUGGGAAAUAUAAACCACAAAAAUAAUAUAAAGUCAGACAGAAGCCCCAGUUCCCAUUUCUGAUCUGAAGGCAUUUGAAGGGGCUAGGCCAAGUUUUACCUGCUUUACGGGCAUUUGUUUUACUGAAUUAUCGCAGCACUGGAACAGGAACCAUUCUCGUUUUACAGAUGAGAAGACCAAGGCACAGAGAUGAGUGUUCCUGAGCUCACACAGUGAUGCCCCCCUUGGCGGAAGCAGAUUUCAAACUCAGGCUGUUGAACCCCCGCGCUGGGCUCUUAAAUCACUUGACUUCUUUGACCUGCUGUUUCCUCCUUAGCAAAAUCAGCCUGAUGGGGAAAACACAUGAAGUGUGCCUCAGAGCUGGGCUGGAAGAGAUGCCUACGAGUGAGAUGUGUUGUUUUCACACAACAAAAAGCUAUACAGCAACGAAAAGGGACAAAUUGCAGCUACAGGUGCGGCAGCAGAGGAAGCAUAUGACUCCCGUGCAUGGUGAAGACAGCAAGAGCCUGCAAAUACGGAGUCCUGUAAUGCAAACCACGAGUGCCUCUGAGCUGUGGUAGGCGCACUCCAAAUCGCAAAUCCGCAAGGCAUUGCACAUCUGGAUGGAGCACGAGCCUUGGAAAAAUUGUGCCUCUUGGUAUCCAUGGUGUCUGAAGCAAAGCAAAACAGUAUGUGAAGGGUGGGAUAUGGAAACACGGUGGCUGGAGCCCCUUAUUAAGGGGUGUCGAAUGUCACUGACAGCCGCUGCCCUUCUACUGCAUGAAGUGUGUCCCGCGUAUGUUGUUGAUUCAGUGGCCUGAGAUGAACAUGGCCGCCGAGUGUUCACACCUGGUGUGGUGCUGGCCCUGUGACUUACCUAACUACGGGAUGUGGCGGAGGUGAUGCUGUGCCAGCUCUGAGGCAAAGUCUUAAGGAAGCCUGACAGUUUCUGGGUUUUCACUGAUGGAAGCUCUUUGUGCCCGGCCAUUCUGCUGGAGCGAUCACGUUGGUGACUGCGUGGAGAGACAGCCGGACGAGGACUGACCAGCAGGCCCAGCCUACGCGGAGACGCAAGGCCUUGGCUUGCAGCUGAGUGAGGCUACCCAGGUGGCUCCCAGCAAGACCGGCCAAGGGACUGCCCCAGAGAGCUCGGCCAAGGUGGAAGAACCAGGAGCAAAUAAAACGGUACUGGUUUGGGGUCACGGGGGUGGUUCAUUCGGCUGAGCAUCUGACUCUUGAUUUGGGCUCAGGUCAUGAUCCCAGGGUUGUAGAAUCAAGCCCUGCG